rfam:Pteropus alecto contig93938, whole genome shotgun sequence.
GGCUCCAUAGAGUAGUGGUUAGCAUGUCUGCUUUACACCCAGAAGGUCCUGGGUUCGAGCCCCAGGUGGAGCCA